AGAAAAAAAGAAAGAAAUGAAAGAAUUCUAAAGAGUAUCUCCAACCCACAAAUAUAUAUAAAGUUCUCCAGUAAAGGUAAAUAAAAAGACAGGCCGGGCACGGUGGUUCACACCUAUAAUCCCAGUAGUUUAGGAGGCCGAGGUUGGUGGAUCACUUUAGGGCAGGGGUUCGAGACCAGCCUGACCAAAAAGGAGAAAGCCUGUGUCUACUAAAAUACAAAAUUAGCUAGGUGUGGUGGCACAUGCCUGUAAUCCCAGCUACUCAGGACACUGAGGCAGGAGAAUCACUUGAACCUGGGAGUUGGAGGUUGGAGUGACCCGAGAUUGUGCCAUUGCACUCCAGCAUGGGCGACAAGAACAAAACUUCAUCUCAUCAACAAAGAAAUAAAUAAAUGAAUAGGCAAAUAACAGGACACAUACAGAAACUGGUGUAAGUAUACCUUCUCUAGAUAAUUCAACUUUUUUUUCUGUUAUUUAGAAGAAAAAAGCAUGAAAAAACACUACAUAUAUGUUAAUGCGAAUGCAACAUACAGAGAAAUAAUUCUGACAUAAAUACAGAGUUCUAGUAGAGAAAGAGUGGCUUUUGCAGGUUAUGGAAUUUUGUUGUUGUUGUUUUUUUUUUUUUGAGACAGAGUCUCGUGCUGUCACCCAGGCUGGAGGGCAGUGGCACAAUCUCGGCUCACUUCAACCUCCACCUCCAGGGUUCAAGCGACUCUCCUGCAUUAGACUCUUGAGUAGCAGGAUUACAGGCGCCCACCACAGUGUCCGGCUAAUUUGUGUGUUUUAGUAGAGACGGAGUUUCGCCAUGUUAGGCAGGCUGGUUUUGAACUCCUGACCUCAGGUGAUUUGCCUGCCUCGGCCUCCCGAAGUGCUGGGAUUACAGGCGUGAGCCACUGGGGCACAAAAAUUGUUUGAGCCUGAAAGGCGGAGCCGGCUGCGGUGAGCCAAGAUCGUACCAUUGAACUGUAGCCUUGGGGACAGAGUAAGACUCCAUCAUAAACAAACAAACAAACAAAAGUCAAUAAGAAGGGAGUCAAAGCAUGUCUACACAAAAAAGCAAAUAAACACAAAAGUAGUAAAUGAGAAAUGAAGAACAAAAAAACCUACAAUAAAUACAGAUAAUAUGUAACAGAAUCACAAGGGUAAGGUCUUCUCCAUCAGUAAUACUUCAACUGUAAGUAUUUAAUCUGCACUCAGAAGGCAAAGACUGGCUGAAUCAACAGGAAUCAACUACAUGUUGUCUACAAGAGACUCACAGACUCAGCCUUAAGGACACACAUAUGAAAUUUUUUUUUCUUUUUUUUUUUGAGACAGAGUCCCGCUCUGUCGCCAGUCUGGAGUGCAGUGGCAAUCUUGGCUCACUGCAACCUCUGACUCCCAGGUUCAUGUGAUUUUGUUGUCUCAGCCUGGAUUACAGGCACGUGCCACCACACCUGGCUAAUUUUUGUAUUUUUAGUAGAGAGGGGGUUUCACCCUGUUGGCCAGGGUGGUCUUGAUCUCCUGACCUCGUGAUCCACCCACCUCAGCCUCCCGAAGUGCUGGGAUUACAGGUGUGAGCCACCAUGCCCAGCUGCACAUAUGCAAAAAUUUUUAAAAUAAAAGCCAAUAAUUAGGUAUGGGGUUUGGCACCUGUAAUCCCAGCUACUCGGGAGACUAAGGAGGAUCUCUGGAGCCCAGGAGAUCAGGAUGAAUUUCAACAACACAGCAAGACCCUGUCUGGAAAAAAAACAAACUAAAAAAGUUGCCCGACAUGGUGGCAUGCACCUGUACCAGCUACCAGGGGAGGCUCAGGUGGGACAAUCACUUGAGCCCAGGAAUUCAAGAUUGCAGUGAGCCAUGAUCACACCAUUGUACUCCACCCGGGCUGACAGAGAGAGACACUUUAUCUAAAAACAAGAGAAAAUAUAGGCCGGGCACGGUGGCUUAUGCCUGUAGUCCCAGCACUUUGGGAGGCCGAGGUGUGUGGAUCACGAGGUCAGGAUUUCAAGGCCAUCCUGGCUAACAUGGUGAAACUCCGUCUCUAGUAAAAAAUAGUACAAAAAAUUAGCCAGGCAUGUUGGUGGGUGCCUG
rnacentral:lncRNA from 10 species